rnacentral:rRNA from 1 species
AUGAAUCUCUUGGCUUGGAACUGUCGAGGACUGGGGUUGGACUCGACAGUGAGCGAACUGAGGGAUCUAAUACGAUCCUACAACCCAGCGGUGAUUUUUUUAUGUGAAACGAAAAAGACAGCAAGAGCGAUGGAAAGGUUGAAAUGGAGCUUGGGAUUCAGAUGUGGAAUGGCGGUGGAUUGUAAGGGAAGGAGUGGGGGCCUAGCGUUAUGGUGGAGAGACAACGUGCAGGUUUCUUUGAGGCCUUGGAGCCAAUACUUCAUUGAUGCUGCGAUAACUUGGGAGGGCAAAUCCUGUAGAUUCACUGGAUUCUACGGGAGCCAAAAACGGAGCUUCGGAAGAAGUCAUGGGAUGCUAUUAGAUAUUUGA